rnacentral:rRNA from 1 species
UACAGAGGGUGCGAGCGUUAAUCGGAAUUACUGGGCGUAAAGGGUGAGUAGGUGGUUAAAUAAGUCGGAUGUGAAAGCCCUGGGCUUAACCUAGGAAUAGCAUACGAUACUGUUUUGACUAGAGUAUAGGAGAGGGGAGUGGAAUUUCCGGUGUAGCGGUGAAGUGCGUAGAUAUCGGAAGGAACACCAGUGGCGAAGGCGACUCUCUGGCUUAAUACUGACACUGAGUCACGAAAGCAUGGGUAGCAAACAGG